UUUCUGGUAUAUUCUUCUUUCUCCGCGCGUAUGUAUAUCCCAAUCCCUCUUUACACGCGAAUACACGAUACGACUCAUAUACACCGAUGCCAGCUCUCUCCUCAUCGCCUCUCUCUCUUUCUCGCUGCUGCCCUUGCUUGCAGUCGUCGCCGCCGCCUCCGCUGCUCGCCCCCUCUUGUCCCCUCUCGCCGCGCAGAUCGAGCCGCCACCGCCGCCUAUUCCCUCUCGCCACCCCCAUCUGCCCCGUUCCCGUCGCAGCUGCAAAUCCACCGCCGCUGGUCCUCCCUGCAGAUCCGUCGACGGUGCUCCUCCCUGGCAGGGCCUCCCUAACCACCUCCCUUGCGAGAUGCGCGGGCCCUGGCCCUGUCCCCCUCCCCCUGCCACCUCGCAUAGAUCCGCCGCCAUACUCCUCCUUCCUCUUGCCAUGCUCUCUUCCUCUUUCGUCAUUCCUCAAUUUUGCAAGAACCCUAGAUUUUCCUCUGUGUAUUUUGCCAAAAAAAUCAUGACGAAUCUGCGGUUGUCAUGCUCUCUUCCUCUUUCAUCCCGCCUCUUUAAGUUUUGCAAGAACCCUAGAUUUCCUCUGUGUAUUUUGCCAAAAAAAUCAUGACGAAUCUGCGACAUGUGCUCUGUUGUUGCCACCUGUUGUUGUGCUGCACUGUUGCUGCAAUGCGACAAUUCUAGGAUUUUUUUUCAUUACUUUCUAUUGUUUGUAGAUAUACUCGAUUUGCUGCACUUGUAAUCAUCGAAAUACAUACAAGUGUCGUGUAUGUUUUAUUUUGAAGUUACUUAAUGCUUCAAGUACACAUUCUAUAUGCUAGAUGUUACUCCCUCCGGUCCUAAAUUCUUGUUGUGGUUUUAUUUCAAAUUUGAGCUAAAACCACGACAAGAAUUUAGGAUCGGAAGGAGUACCUAAUAUCAAGUUUGUUGUUGUAACCCGAGAAGAAAAAGGUUGCUUAAUGCUUGAAAGAAGCAUGACUGUUGAGUUUAUCAUAGUUCUAUAGAAAAGUAUUGACACAAGGCAAACAGCUGACCUAGGAUGUUGCUAUUGCUUGCAAAGGAUCCAGUUGUACUCCCUUUUCAACAUAUAAAGGACCAUAAAAUGCAAAAAAUUAACUUGCAGACGCUUCUGAGACCGAGGAAAUUGAUGUGGAAGGUCUGCUGGAAUCAUUGGAACAGAAAGUUGAUUCGAGUUCUAGCAUGCCAAAAUGCAUUGUUUCGAAGGUAUGCUGUCUUUUCGUGGGUGGUGUUUCCUCUGGAGUCUCGACCCUGUUGUCUGUAAAUAAAUUAUCAUAAUAUCAUGGAACUAGGUUUACAGUUACAGGAUGGGAGCUGUUGUGCAUAACUCUAAAAACCAGGAACUAUGUAAAGUGAAUGUGAAGUUCUUUGGCCUGAGAUAAGUAAUAAAUUAGUGCCUUGCAAAGACUUGACAAUCAAGAGCAGUCGGCAUCUUUAUGUUUGUUUUUAGUUAUGUAGAUAGGUAGUAUGUAGCCUGAAAUAUGUGGAUAAAGGCAUGGUUUUCAAAGCGUCGCCUAGGCGUCAGAGCGCCCGUCGACCUCAAGGCGUUGUCGUCGCCUUAGAGUUCUGUCUAAGGUGUCCACCUUGGCCAUUUGAGGCGUCCAGGGCGUCUCCUAGGCGGAGAAGGCGGCGCUUUGGUCGAUUCUGGACGCCCCUGGCAGAUCGAGCGGGAAAUUGAGGGGCGGGGCAGGAAACUGAAAUUGGCGGGGAUGGAAGAGAAAUUGGGGGCCAGAGAGAGGAUAAACAGAAGGGGGGGAGAGAGGGGAACAUGCCUGUGGAUUCAAUCGAGGGGACAAGAGGGAGUGAGAGAGGAGCACUCUCCUCUCAUGGCAGCAGGAGCUUGCCGCCAGAAGGCAGAUCCGCCCCUCCUCCGCCGGCAUCCUCCUCUCCGGCCAAGCUCCUCCUCUGCCGGCCUUCCCCCUCUCCGGCCAAGCUUCUCCUCUGCUCUCCUCACCUGCUCUCUGCCCUCUGCUCUCUGCCCUCUGCCCUCUCUUUUCCCCUCACCUGCUCAACAACCAGGAAAUUCAAGAGAUUUGGAUCUUGGGCUACAGGCUUGCGCUGAAAGAAUAUCUGACGGCAAGAGGCAUUAAUUCUGAAUUGGCAAGCUCGCUCUUCCAAGCAGGAGCGCGUCCAGUACGUGAGGUGGCUCAGAGCAUUAGAAGCGAUGUUCAUCAAACACCGUUGAGUUUGAUUUUUGGUUGGUGUGGCUUGUGGCCACAUGGAUGUUGGUACUUCAUUGAUAUUACACCACUUUCAUUGGACUAAUGUUUUCAUUCACCAAUACAUAUGAUUAGAAUAAUGUAUGAAAGUUCCAUUGCGACAAUGAUGUUAUUUCAAUUAGCAACUAUCGAACUACUAUUGAAAUAUUUGUUUCA